GUGCCAGCCGCCGCGGUAAUACCGGCAGCCCGAGUGAUGGCCGAUCUUAUUGGGCCUAAAGCGUCCGUAGCUGGCUGCGCAAGUCCGUCGGGAAAUCCACCUGCCCAACAGGUGGGCGUCCGGCGGAAACUGUGCGGCUUGGAACCGGAAGGCUCAGAGGGUACGUCCGGGGUAGGAGUGAAAUCCCGUAAUCCUGGACGGACCACCGGUGGCGAAAGCGCCUCGAGAGGACGGACCCGACAGUGAGGGACGAAAGCCAGGGUCUCGAACCGGAUUAGAUACCCCUGUAGUCC
rnacentral:rRNA from 1 species